GACGAACCGUGCGAACGUUAUUCGGAAUCACUGGGCUUAAAGGCGCGUAGGCGGGCUGUCAAGUCUGGGGUGAAAUCCCGCGGCUCAACCGUGGAACUGCCUCAGAUACUGACGGCCUCGAGGAAGGUAGGGGCAUGCGGAACUGUAGGUGGAGCGGUGAAAUGCGUUGAUAUCUACAGGAACUCCGGUGGCGAAAGCGGCGUGCUGGACCUUUUCUGACGCUGAGGCGCGAAAGCUAGGGGAGCAAACGGG
rnacentral:rRNA from 1 species